rnacentral:rRNA from 1 species
CCUACGGGUGGCAGCAGUGGGGAAUAUUGGGCAAUGGGCGCAAGCCUGACCCAGCAACGCCGCGUGAAGGAAGAAGGCUUUCGGGUUGUAAACUUCUUUUUAGAGGGAAGAGCAGAAGACGGUACCUCUCGAAUAAGCCACGGCUAACUACGUGCCAGCAGCCGCGGUAAUACGUAGGUGGCAAGCGUUGUCCGGAUUUACUGGGUGUAAAGGGCGUGCAGCCGGGCGUGCAAGUCAGAUGUGAAAUCCUGGGGCUAAACCGCGGAACUGCAUUUGAAACUGUGAGUCUUGAGUACGGGAGAGGCAGGCGGAAUUCCUAGUGUAGCGGUGAAAUGCGUAGAUAUUAGGAGGAACACCAGUGGCGAAGGCGGUCUGCUGGACAGCAACUGACGGUGAGGCGCGAAAGCGUGGGGAGCAAACAGGAUUAGAUACCCUAGUAGUC